GAUAGGUGGGAGGCUUUGAAGUGUGGACGCCAGUCUGCAUGGAGCCGACCUUGAAAUACCACCCUUUAAUGUUUGAUGUUCUAACGUGGACCCGUGAUCCGGGUUGCGGACAGUGUCUGGUGGGUAGUUUGACUGGGGCGGUCUCCUCCUAAAGAGUAACGGAGGAGCACGAAGGUUGGCUAAUCCUGGUCGGACAUCAGGAGGUUAGUGCAAUGGCAUAAGCCAGCUUGACUGCGAGCGUGACGGCGCGAGCAGGUGCGAAAGCAGGUCAUAGUGAUCCGGUGGUUCUGAAUGGAAGGGCCAUCGCUCAACGGAUAAAAGGUACUCCGGGGAUAACAGGCUGAUACCGCCCAAGAGUUCAUAUCGACGGCGGUGUUUGGCACCUCGAUGUCGGCUCAUCACAUCCUGGGGCUGAAGUAGGUCCCAAGGGUAUGGCUGUUCGCCAUUUAAAGUGGUACGCGAGCUGGGUUUAGAACGUCGUGAGACAGUUCGGUCCCUAUCUGCCGUGGGCGCUGGAGAACUGAGGGGGGCUGCUCCUAGUACGAGAGGACCGGAGUGGACGCAUCACUGGUGUUCGGGUUGUCAUGCCAAUGGCACUGCCCGGUAGCUAAAUGCGGAAGAGAUAAGUGCUGAAAGCAUCUAAGCACGAAACUUGCCCCGAGAUGAGUUCUCCCUGACCCUUUAAGGGUCCUGAAGGAACGUUGAAGACGACGACGUUGAUAGGCCGGGUGUGUAAGCGCAGCGAU
rnacentral:rRNA from 1 species